UGGGGAAUAUUGGACAAUGGGCGCAAGCCUGAUCCAGCCAUGCCGCGUGUGUGAAGAAGGCCUUCGGGUUGUAAAGCACUUUAAGCGGGGAGGAAGGUUCGACAGCUAAUAUCUGUCGGAAUUGACGUUACCCGCAGAAUAAGCACCGGCUAACUCUGUGCCAGCAGCCGCGGUAAUACAGAGGGUGCAAGCGUUAAUCGGAAUUACUGGGCGUAAAGCGCGCGUAGGCGGUUGUGUAAGUUGGAUGUGAAAUCCCCGGGCUUAACCUGGGAAUGGCAUUCAAAACUGCACGGCUAGAGUACGGGAGAGGGGGGUAGAAUUCCAGGUGUAGCGGUGAAAUGCGUAGAGAUCUGGAGGAAUACCGAUGGCGAAGGCAGCCCCCUGGCCUGAUACUGACGCUGAGGUGCGAAAGCAUGGGGAGCAAACA
rnacentral:rRNA from 1 species